rnacentral:rRNA from 1 species
CCUACGGGAGGCAGCAGUGGGGGAUAUUGGACAAUGGGGGGAACCCUGAUCCAGCGACGCCGCGUGAGUGAAGAAGUAUUUAGGUAUGUAAAGCUCUGUCAGCAGGGAAGAAAGAAAUGACGGUACCUGACCAAGAAGCCCUGGCUAACUACGUGCCAGCAGCCGCGGGAAUACGUAGGGGGCAAGCGUUAUCCGGAAUUACUGGGUGUAAAGGGAGCGUAGACGGUUAAGUAAGUCUGGAGUGAAAGGCCGGGGCCCAACCCCGGUACUGCUCUGGAAACUAUUGAACUUGAGUGCAGGAGAGGUAAGCGGAAUUCCUAGUGUAGCGGUGAAAUGCGUAGAUAUUAGGAGGAACACCAGUGGCGAAGGCGGCUUACUGGACUGUAACUGACGUUGAGGCUCGAAAGCGUGGGGAGCAAACAGGAUUAGAUACCCGAGUAGUC